rnacentral:rRNA from 1 species
AGCGAACGCUGGCGGCAGGCCUAACACAUGCAAGUCGAACGAACUCUUCGGAGUUAGUGGCGGACGGGUGAGUAACACGUGGGAACGUGCCUUUUGGUUCAGAAUAACUCAGGGAAACUUGUGCUAAUACCGAAUGUGCCCUUCGGGGGAAAGAUUUAUCGCCAUUAGAGCGGCCCGCGUCUGAUUAGCUAGUUGGUGAGGUAACGGCUCACCAAGGCGACGAUCAGUAGCUGGUCUGAGAGGAUGACCAGCCACACUGGGACUGAGACACGGCCCAGACUCCUACGGGAGGCAGCAGUGGGGAAUCUUGCGCAAUGGGCGAAAGCCUGACGCAGCCAUGCCGCGUGAAUGAUGAAGGUCUUAGGAUUGUAAAAUUCUUUCACCGGGGACGAUAAUGACGGUACCCGGAGAAGAAGCCCCGGCUAACUUCGUG